CAAUCCAAAGAAGCAGCAAUGGUUGGUGCCGCAACAGAAAGCUCUGCAGCUUGCUGCACGGUCCAUUUCCCAGUUCCUUUCAUUCCGGUCUUAUCCAAAAUCUUAUCCACUAAUUCCCCCUCUCCAUGAUCAUCCUUAACUCUGAAAAUAUCCGAUGUAAUCUCAAUCAGAAAGCUCUCCAGCUCUCCUUUGUUCCACUCUGUGAAAAUCUCCGCUAAUUCCGCGUUGGACAAUCCGCCCACAUU
rnacentral:misc_RNA from 1 species